ensembl:lncRNA
AGAGAAAUAAGAGUGACGGAGAAAUAUGAAGUGACACGGAGCGUCACUGGCACAUCCUGUGUGAGUGAAACCUCCUGUUUGACCGUUGCAGGUGAGACAUGAGAGGCGUGACGAGUCCAAACAAGAGAGUCCAGCCAGGUGGAUGUGGUGGGUGAGGUGGGUGAGGUGGAUGAGGUAGGUGAGCUGGAUGAGGUGCGUGAGGUGGGUGAGCUGGGUGAGGUGGGUGAGGUGGGUGAGGGGGAUGAGGUGGGUGAGGUGUGAGGUGGGUGAGGUGUGAGGUGGGUGAGGUGGGUGAGGUGGAUGAGGUGGGUGAGGUGGGUGAGGUGGGUGAGGUGUGAGGUGGGUGAGGUGGGUGAGGUGGGUGAGGUGGGUGAGGUGGAUGAGGUGG